rnacentral:rRNA from 1 species
GAGUGGACGCAUCACUGGUGUUCGGGUUGUCAUGCCAAUGGCACUGCCCGGUAGCUAAAUGCGGAAGAGAUAAGUGCUGAAAGCAUCUAAGCACGAAACUUGCCCCGAGAUGAGUUCUCCCUGACUCUUUAAGGGUCCUGAAGGAACGUUGAAGACGACGACGUUGAUAGGCCGGGUGUGUAAGCGCAGCGAUGCGUUGAGCUAACCGGUACUAAUGAACCGUGAGGCUUAACCUU